AGAGUUUGAUCCUGGCUCAGGAUGAACGCUGGCGGAGUGCCUUAGGCAUGCAAGUGUAACGGUUUAAUUGGUCGCAAGACUAGUUGAGCAGUCGCAGACGGGUGAGUAAUACAUAGGAAUCUACCCAUUGGUGUGGAAUAACUAGCCGAAAGGCUGGCUAAUACCGCAUAACAUCUCACGAUAAAAGGGCGUAACUGCCCACCGAUGGAGGAGCCUAUGUCCUAUCAGUUUGUUGGUGGGGUAAUGGCCUACCAAGACUAUGACGGGUAGCUGGACUGAGAAGUUGGUCAGCCACAAUAGCACUGAGACACGGGCUAUACAUCUACGGAUGGCAGCAACCGGGAAUAUUGCGCAAUGGACGAAAGUCUGACGCAGCGACUCCGCGUGAGGGAUGAAGGCCUUAGGGUCGUAAACCUCUUUUGACCCGCCAUAUGGCGAGUAGAAUAAGCACCUGCUAACCACGUGCCAGCAGCCGCGGUAAUACGUGGGGUGCAAGCGUUAUCCGGAUUUAUUGGGCGUAAAGAGUUCGUAGGCUUUUUGUUAAGUUCCGUUUGAAAUCCCGAGGCUCAACCUCGGACCCGGACGGAAAACUAAUAAAAUUGAGUUUGUCAGGGGGUACUGGAAUUGCCGGUGUAGCAGUGAAAUGCGUUGAUAUCGGUAAGAACACCAAGGACGAAGGUAGGUACCUGGGACAUGACUGACGCUGAGGAACGAAAGCUAGGGGAGCGAAACAGAUUAGAGACCUGUGUAGUCCUAGCCGUAAACGAUGUCCGCUUGAUCUUCGGGCGCAAGCCUGGGGGUCGGAGCUAACGCGUUAAGCGGACCGCCUGGGGAGUACGGUCGCAAGACUAAAACUCAAAGGAAUUGACGGGAAAGAGCACAACCAGGGGAGCAUGUGGUUUAAUUCGAUACUAAGCGAAAGACCUUACCCAGAUUUGACAUGAUACCGUUCACCUAGCUGGAAACAGUUGGGGAUCAGCAAUGAUGGUAUCACAGCUGCUGCAUGGCUAUCGUCAGCUCGUGCCGUGGGGUGUCUGCUUAAGUGCAGGAACGAGCGCAACCCUUAUCCUAUGUUGAAUACUCAUGGGAAACUGCCCCGCCUUUGCGGGGAGGAAGGAGGGGAUGACGUUAAGUCAGCAUGGCGCUUAUAUCUGGGGCGACACACAUCCUACAAUGGGAAGGAACAAUGAGUUGCCAAACCGCAAGGUGGAGCUAACCUCAACAAAACUUCCCUCAGUUCAGAUUGGGGGCUGCAACCCGCCCCCAUGAAGAUGGACUUGGUAGUAAUCGCGGAUCAGCAGGCCGCGGUGAAUACGUUCUCUCUUUUUGUACACACCGCCCAUCAAGCCAGCAAAGUCGGUAGUACCUGAAAUCUUGCCUCUGGCGGGACAAGGGUAAGAUCGGCGAUGAGGGCUAAGUUGUAACAAGGUAUCCCUAGCCGAAGCUGGGGAUG
rnacentral:rRNA from 1 species